CAUUAGUAUAUGGUUGAUCCUGCCAGUAGUCAUACGAUCGUUUCAUAUAUUAAUCCAUACAUGUGUAAGUAUAAAUAGUUAACUUUGAAAAUUUGAAUGUUUCAUUAUAUCAGUUAUAGUUUUUUAGAUGAAGAAUAAUUAUUGGAUAACUGUAGUAAUUAUAGAUCUAAUACAUGGAUAAAGUGUUGUAGUUUGCAUUUAUUAGAAUGACAACCAUAGGUUUCGGCCUCUCAUGAGUAAUAAUAACUAAUCAUAUCGUAUGGUUAUGUAGCGAUGAUUCUAUUAAUUUUCUAACCUAUCAGCUUUGGAUGGUAGUGUACUGGCCUCGCAUGGCAGUGGCGGGUAGAGAUGAGUUUGGGUUCGAUUUGAGGGAGGGAGCGAGAGGGAUGCCCCACACACGCAAGGAACACAGCAGGCAAGUAAACCAUCCUAUCCCCGGGCGGGGAGGUAGAGACAAUAACUCACAAUGCGCCUCAAGGUUUUGUAAUUGGAAUGAGAACAAUGUACAACCCUUAUCGAUAAACAAUUGGAGGGCAAGUCUGGUGCCAGCAGCCGCGGUAAUCCAGCUCCGAAUGCA
rnacentral:rRNA from 1 species